rnacentral:rRNA from 1 species
GGCCGCAGUAUUUUAACUGUGCAAAGGUAGCAUAAUAAUUAGUUUUUUAAUUGAAAGCUGGAAUGAAGGGUUUAACAAAAAAUAUUCUGUCUUAAUAUUAAUUUUAUAAAUUGAUUUUUAAGUUAAAAUGCUUAGAUAAAAUAAAAAGACGAAAAGACCCUAUAAAACUUUACAUUUAUUUAUAUAGAAUUAUUUAAAUUAAUUUUUUUUUAUAUUAAUAGCUGUUUUGUUGGGGUGACACAAAUAUAAUCUAUACCUGUUUUAUAAUUUUAACUUUAAUAAAAGAAAUUUAUUGAUCCUUUUUAAAGAUUUUUAGAUUAAGUUACUUUAGGGAUAACAGCAUAAUUUUUUUUUAAGAGUUCUUAUCGACAAAAUAAUUAUGACCUCGAUGUUGAAUUAAAAUUUCUUUAUAGUGCAGUAGCUAUAAAAGAAGGUCUGUUCGACCUUUAAAUUUUUACAUGAUUUGAGUUCAAAUCGGC